rnacentral:tRNA from 1 species
AGGCGUGUAGCUCAGCUGGUUAGAGCGCUGCAUUCACAUUGCAGAGGUCAACGGUUCGAUCCCGUUCACGCCUA